GAGUGUUACAGCUCUUUUAGAAUUUGUCUAGCAGGGUUUCCAGUCCUUACUGGAAGACAACCCCAC
ensembl:snRNA U7 U7 small nuclear RNA